rnacentral:rRNA from 1 species
UACAGAGGUCCCAAGCGUUGUUCGGAUUCACUGGGCGUAAAGGGUGCGUAGGUGGUGAGGAAAGUCGGAUGUGAAAUCUCCGGGCUUAACCCGGAAAUGGCAUUGGAAACUACCUUGCUAGAGGUUUGAGGGGGACUGGAAUUCUCGGUGUAGCAGUGAAAUGCGUAGAUAUCGGGAGGAACACCAGUGGCGAAAGCGGCUCUCUGGGGCAACCUGACGCUGAGGCGCGAAGCGUGGGAGCGAACCGG